rnacentral:rRNA from 1 species
GACGAACGCUGGCGGCGUGCUUAACACAUGCAAGUCGAACGGAAAGGCCGUGCUUUCUUGGGGUGCUCGAGUCGGGAACGGGUGUGUAACACGUGAGUAUCCUGCCCUUGACUUUGUGAUAACUUCAGGAAACCGGUGCUAACACCUGAUUGGUGCUCCUGCUGCAUGGUGGUCGUUGGAAAUUAUCGGCGGAAGGGGAUGGACUCGCGGGUUAUCAGCUUGUUGGUGGGGGAGUGGCUUACCCAGGGUUUGACGGGUAGGCGGCAUGAGAGGGUGACCGGCCACAAUGGGACUGAGGUACGGCCCAGACUCCAACGGGAGGCAGCAGUGGGGAAUAUUACACAGUGGGCGGAAGCCUGAUGCGGAGACGCCGCGUGCGGGAAGACGUCCUUCGGGUUGUGAACCGCUUUCAGCUGUGACGAAGCGGUAGUGACGGUAAUGGGUAAAGAAGCACCGGCUAACUACGUG